ACGCUCGACACCUAGGAGGCAGCAGUAGGGAAUCUUCCACAAUGGGCGCAAGCCUGAUGGAGCAACACCGCGUGAGUGAAGAAGGGUUUCGGCUCGUAAAGCUCUGUUGUUGGAGAAGAACGUGCGUGAGAGUAACUGUUCACGCAGUGACGGUAUCCAACCAGAAAGUCACGGCUAACUACGUGCCAACAGCCGCGGUAAUCUGAGCGGGCUGGCAAGGC
rnacentral:rRNA from 1 species